rnacentral:rRNA from 1 species
UACGAAGGGGGCGAGCGUUGUUCGGAUUUACUGGGCGUAAAGGGCGCGUAGGCUGUGCUGUAAGUCAGGCGUGAAAGCCCCGGGCUCAACCUGGGAAUUGCGCUUGAUACUGCGGCGCUGGAAGGUGGGAGAGGAUGGCGGAAUUCCCAGUGUAGAGGUGAGAUUCGUAGAUAUUGGGAAGAACACCGGUGGCGAAGGCGGCCAUCUGGCCCAUUUUUGACGCUGAGGCGCGAAAGCGUGGGGAGCAAACAGG